rnacentral:tRNA from 1 species
GACGGAUCGAAAUAUCGACCAAAUGCGAAAUCAACUGGAUCGGCUCGGACUGUCCAUCGAUUGGGAUCGCGAACAAGCCACGUGCCA